rnacentral:ncRNA from 2 species
GAAUAUGGAUAGGGGAGCUGUGGAACGGCUGAGAGGGAAACGAGUGUUUCCGACCCUUAGACCUGAUCUAGGUAAUGCUAGCGGAGGGACUAAGAUGUAUGAGCUU